rnacentral:rRNA from 1 species
GAUGAACGCUGGCGGCGUGCCUAAUACAUGCAAGUCGAGCGAACAGACGAGGAGCUUGCUCCUCUGACGUUAGCGGCGGACGGGUGAGUAACACGUGGAUAACCUACCUAUAAGACUGGGAUAACUUCGGGAAACCGGAGCUAAUACCGGAUAAUAUUUUGAACCGCAUGGUUCAUUAGUGAAAGACGGUUUUGCUGUCACUUAUCGAUGGAUCCGCGCCGCAUUAGCUAGUUGGUAAGGUAACGGAUUACCAAGGCAACGAUGCGUAGCCGACCUGAGAGGGUGAUCGGCCACACUGGAACUGAGACACGGUCCAGACUCCGACGGGAGGCAGCAGUAGGGAAUCUUCCGCAAUGGGCGAAAGCCUGACGGAGCAACGCCGCGUGAGUGAUGAAGGUCUUCGGAUCGUAAAACUCUGUUAUUAGGGAAGAACAAAUGUGUAAGUAACUAUGCACAUCUUGACGGUACCUAAUCAGAAAGCCACGGCUAACUACGUG